CCAUCCAAAUAAGGUAUUACCCCGUAGUUCUACGGGGAGGAAAGUCCUGACACCAUAAAAAAGGUAGCAUCUCACGGAUGUUGGAUGCCUUCGGGCCAAAUGAAAGUGCCACAGAAACGAAAACUACCCCGCUAAAGCGGGGGAAAGAUGCAACGUGAGGAUGCCACGCAGCAGUGCAGGGCUACCUCUACUCAGUUGGACAGAUGUUCUUCGAGUGGUAAACCAUACCUGGUGUAAGCUUACCACGUAGUUCUACGUGGGCAGCGCAAAAUACUUGCUAUAAGCAGGUUUAGACACAUAUACCUAAUACAGAAUCAGGCUUAUUGUUUGGAUAUUAAA
rnacentral:RNase_P_RNA from 1 species